ACUGGGCACUGUGGAAGGAGGGAGUGUUGUAUGCGUGGCUCUUGGAUGGCUGAAAAAGCUCUCCUGUGUGUCAGCACAUCCCCUCUAACACCUGAGUGUAAAGGGUCCUGGAGAGUUAUUGCCACCAUUUCAUUGUCUGUUACUUGCAGCUUCAUGGUUUGUCAGGUUUAAUAUAUGAUAUCUUACUUCUGCAGUGAUGUAGAUAUCUGAAUAUCAGAAGCUGAGCUGGAUAUGAACUUUUCUGGGCAGAAUACUGGUCAUCAUCCACAGGAAUGUGAAGACUUGUGGACCUUUAAAUCUUGCAGUGCACUGCAAAUUUUUCAUGUGAGGACCAAGUAUGGACUAUCCUGGUA